rnacentral:rRNA from 1 species
AUGAACGCUGGCGGCGUGCCUAAUACAUGCAAGUCGAGCGAACAGAUGAGGAGCUUGCUCCUCUGACGUUAGCGGCGGACGGGUGAGUAACACGUGGAUAACCUACCUAUAAGACUGGGAUAACUUCGGGAAACCGGAGCUAAUACCGGAUAAUAUAUUGAACCGCAUGGUUCAAUAGUGAAAGACGGUUUUGCUGUCACUUAUAGAUGGAUCCGCGCCGCAUUAGCUAGUUGGUAAGGUAACGGCUUACCAAGGCAACGAUGCGUAGCCGACCUGAGAGGGUGAUCGGCCACACUGGAACUGAGACACGGUCCAGACUCCUACGGGAGGCAGCAGUAGGGAAUCUUCCGCAAUGGGCGAAAGCCUGACGGAGCAACGCCGCGUGAGUGAUGAAGGUCUUCGGAUCGUAAAACUCUGUUAUUAGGGAAGAACAAAUGUGUAAGUAACUAUGCACGUCUUGACGGUACCUGAUCAGAAAGCCACGGCUAACUACGUG